rnacentral:tRNA from 1 species
GGGGGUGUAGCUCAGUGGUAGAGUGCUUGCCUGGUAUGCAUGAGGCCCCGGGUUCCAGCCCCU